CAAAAAGACUCAUUAAACUAUAUUUCACCUCAAAAUAUGGGUGGAAAAGUAAUUGCUUUCCUUAACAUUUUGGUCUUAAUAGUUCUCAUAAUGUCUACCCAUAUAGCUUUUGCGAGGGAACAUCCAGUCGUAGAGAUCCCCAAUACCAGAAGUUGAACGAUGACGAGCGGUGGCGGGUGUUGAGCAUGUUAACUAAUUAAGAUGGAUGUUUUUGAACUUCAAGCGUAGUUGUGUCUUCAUACAUAGCUGCACUUUCUCUUGGACGUUUUCCGCUGAGUUUUUGAUACACUUAAGUAUUUUUGAAUAUUUUGCACUCUCCUUUCGGUUUAGAGGCCUUAGACUAUCUUGUGGAUUUUAUCUUGGAAACUAUGUCAUACUCUUGAGAUUUUUGAUCGUAAUUUAUGAUACCUUCCUUUUUCUUAUUUAA